GGAGAGAUGGUCGAGUGGUUUAAGAUGUAGUACUGGAAAUGCUAUGUAGGCUUUUUUCCGCCUACCGAGGGUUCGAAUCCCUCCCUCUCC
rnacentral:tRNA from 1 species